GGGCCUCCAGGGCCCCGCCCGCCCCCCAGGUUCUGAACGCGCACCGCGGCCGCACAUGGGAAGCACCAGCGAGAAGCCUGCACGCUGACAAGACGGGUCCCUGCUCGCCUCACUGAAGUGGGGCCCAGGCCAAGCCAGGAUCCCGUAGUCUGGCGAUUCCGUGCGACCGACAGCACCCCAGGUUCCCAGACAGCUAUCACAACAGCGCUGUGGCCUGACGGCCUCUGGCAUCUUUUAAUGGCAAAUCACAGCUACUGACAAUGGCGUCUUGUCUUCAUAACUGAAGGCAAUGUCAACUUUCAGUAAAGGCUGAUGAAAAAUAAACCUUUUCCCAUCUGA